rnacentral:lncRNA from 1 species
CACAAGGCAAGAUAAAAAGACACUGAGUCUAUGGAUUCCUCCGUGAAUUUCAUCCGUAUAAGGUGAAUUAAAACAACUUAGUCAAAACAUUGCUAGACGGAUGUAAAGAUUAACAAACCAUUAGUUGGACUUCAUGAGUUGCAGAUUAUUUUCUUCCACUAGCAAUGCAAAUGGGUUGGAUUCCAAAAGUCCCUUUCUAGUUCCACAGUCAAAAUAUGCUUAGAAAAUAAAUUGUAUAAAAUAGUGCCACAAUCCACAUCCUAAAAAACACUAAUUUUCUCUCUCAGGCAUUUUCACAAACAUCUUCCGUACUCAAAAAAAUUUUCCACUGAACACCCACUCUCUAACUUUCGAAGAAUGCUUGAUCUACCAUAAACAAUACAAUUAUUAAGAUUUUAUGAGGAAACAAUCAGAGACAUAGAUCACAUAUAUAUGGGGAAGGGGUGAAUGAAAAGGUGAGAAAUUAUUCACACAUGGUUUUGUUCCAUUUCUUACACCCUACUAAUUAAAAUCAGAAAAGGGAAACACACAAAAAUGAAAGGUAUAACCUUUCUUCGAAAUCUUUAAAAAGAGUGUGGGUCAUGGUCUUCGAAACGUUUAGAUUCGACGUCAUCGUGGGUCUCUGUCGCAAUGUGUCUCCAUUGCAAUGUGUCUCCGUCGCAGUGAGUCUCCGUCGCCAUGGGUCUCCGUUGUUGAGAAGAAAGUUCAUGGAGAUGGAGAAGAAUGGGGUUGGGGUUGGGUUUUUUGGGUUCUAUCGUGAAGAUGAUAAGGAAGAAGGGGAAAUAAAAGUAAGUUUAUAUUUUAAUAAUUUUUAAUGAAAAGUUGGAGGGAAAUUAAGGGGAAAAUAUAUUUUAAUAAUUUUUAAUAAAAAAUAUAUUUUAUUAUUUAUAUUUAAUGAUAUUUAAAAACUGUCAUAUAUUUAUGACAGUUAAAAACUGACAUAAAUUUUUCGAAUCCGAAAAAUUCUGUCUUUUUCCUCAAAAAACGUGAAUUUUAACCUUUUGUGACAAUUUUUUCUUUCCUCUUUCCAAUUUUGGAUAUAUACAAUUGUUAUAGUAGAUAGAUUUUGUUGUAGUGAGCAUAAAUAUGGUUAUAGUUUCAACAUUUUGAAUACAACUUGAAUUUGAAUGAAAUUUUUCAUAGAGUGCUAUCUGUCAUGUUUUAUGCUUUCCUUUGUAUUCUUGUAUUAGAAUGCAUAUUUAGGACUUUCAAUAUAGUUUGAUCAAUUAGAUUGUGGAGAGUUCGAAAUCUUGAAGUUAGGAACAAGUUCUCAUUUCUUUUUUUAUCUUUAAUCAAUCUUUCCAAGCUAAAAUUUGUUUAGAUUUUUUGGGGUUGUUUAACUAUUUGUUUAAUCAGGGUUAUUCUCAUUACUGUUGUGGGGGUUCACCUAAAGUAAGGGGAGUUCUCAAAUAAGUAUAUAUUAAAGAUGUGAAUGAAUUUAGAAAUGCAUUAAAGAUGUGAAUGAAUCCAAAUUUCUAGAUUCAUUACGACCCUUGGGUGUCCAAGUGACUCUUGAAGUUUCAACUCGUCAUUAAAAGCUAAAAAUUUAGUUUAAACAUUACUCGUUCUAUGCUUCAACUAAUCAAUACUAAGAGUUUAGCUUGGAAAGAUUGAUCAAAGAUCAAGAAGAAAUGAGAACUUGUUCCUGACUUCAAGAUUUCGAACUCCCCAUAAUUUAAUUGAUCAAACUAGACUGAAAGUCCUAAACAUGCAUUCUAACACAAGAAUACAAAAAAAAAAAAAAACAUAAAGAUUGAGAGAUAACACUCUAUGACAAAUUUCAUUCAAAUUUAAGUUGUUCUCAAAAUGUGGAAAUUACAACCCUAUUUAUACUAAUUAAAAAUGUUAUAUGCAAGGACACAACAUUUAAUUUUAUGCCAUGUCAACUACGCUAAUAAAUGAAAGUACAUAUCAUUAACUAAGUACAUAUUAAAGAUGUGAAUGAAUAUCUAAAUUUCUAGAUUCACUAUGAUUCAUAGGUGUCCAAGUGACUUUUGAAGUUUCAAUUCGUUACUAAAGGCUGAAAAUUUAGCUUGAACAUUAUUUGUUCUAUGCUUCAGCUAAUAAAUCCAUUUAGUUACUUAUCAACUGAUAUAAUUGCAUCUGUCUUCACUGAGUCUCUGUCAUAUUUGAGUGUGUUUUUUACCCCUUUGUAAGAUUUGAGUACAAAAUUUAGAAGAACAUAGGCUUCAUUUUCAUCACUAAGAUUGUCUUCAAGACAUUUAAAUUCUGAGAAAAUCUUCUUGAACUCAUCUAUGUUGUCUUAAAAGGUUUUUGAAGGAUUCAUAUUGUAUGAAAAGAAUUUCAACCUUAAGUACAUUUUAUUAGAGAGAUCUUUAGUAGCAUGUAGGCUUUCUAAUUUCUUUUAGAUUUGUAUGUUGUAUCUUCUUCUGUUACUUGCCUUAUUACACUGUCACUUAAAUUUAGGAUUAUUGUACCAUAAGUAUUUAACUUCAUGUCUUCUCUUUGGGAUGUUAUGAGUGUUGCUAGAAGUUUUGAUGGAUCUAAAACGAAUUUAUGAGCCUGUUGCUGACCUAGCAAAGCCUUAAUUUUUGCCUUCCAAAGAGAAAAACCUCCCUUUCCAUCCAACUUCUCAAUUUCUACUAUUGUCACUGUCAUUCUUAAGUUUGCUUCUAUUCUUUAAUCCUCCAAGAUUCAAAUUCUUGAAAAUCAAGAUUUUCUUUGAUACCAAUUUGUUUGGGUUUUUUAAUCUCUCACAGGCCCACAACGAAUGGAGGACAACUACAUGAUACACCUACACAAUGCGCUUACAUGAUCCACUUGCAUGAUGCAUCUACACAAAAGAUAAAGACAAAAAGAGAAAAAAAAUUAAUGAAAUACUUAUCUUUCUUUUUCAUCUCUGUUUCAUUUAUUCUUGUAAACCCUAAUUUGAUGAUGAUGUUUUAGUUUAUAAGUAGAGAACACAUACAGAUUGAAGAUGAAGGAGAAGGAAAAGAUGAACACAAGAUAUACGUGGUUCGAAAAAAAUUGUCUAUGUCCACAAAAAGAAUCGCUUUCUUGAUGAAUUCUUGAGAUGAGUACAAGACUUUUCUUUCUCGUUCUCUCUUUGAUUUUACGUGUGAUAACAUGUAUAAAUACUCAUUAUUAUAGCCUCUUUUAUUAGAAUAAUAAGGCCAAAACGCAUAAGAAGAUGACUAAAACGUGAAACUUAUAUUGUAAAUUCAUAAAUAUUUAGAAAUACAUCUUACAUGAGCAUAUGCCUAUUUUAAUUGAUUUCUAUGUCUUAACGCAGGAUGAGUAGAAAGAAAGAAACUAUUGAAUCACAAAAGUCAUCUCGCACAAAAACUACACGAUGGGAACUCGUAUGGCAACUAACACCACCAGGCAAGGAACCACAUUAACACAUGAGAAAGAUUCACUAGACAACAAGGAUAGUGGUUGAAGUUGAUGUAAUGUGACAAGGCUGCAAUCGGUGCUGACAUACUCAGAGGAACAUAAAUAUUUUCCAUUGAAAGUGCAUAUAAAAGAACUCCUUCUUCACCAAGGAAAACAAGAGAGGAUGUAUGGGACAUGGUCUAGAGAGAGAAGGGCGGAAAGGAAUAGCCUUUCUGCCUACUGUAAAGAGAUUCUUCUUCUUCUUCUCCGGUCAUACUGAAAGUGAGAUCUUAGAGUCUGAACAGAGAGAAGUUCAUCUUCUCAUUCCCCCUAACUUGUAUUCUUUCUCAUUAUUCUGUCUUCCAUUUUUGUAUUCUUUGUGUAAUAUUUGUACUGUUCACAUUGUACCAUGAUCAAAGGUCUACAUUCUCUCUAUAUAUAUAUUACAUGUUUAUACCUUUUCAAUCCAUCAUGUCUCUACAUUCCAUUAGUCAAUGUGUUAUUGAUAGUUUAGGUCGUUGAUAAGUUUUUUAUAGGAAGUUUUGUUUAUCAGUCUUAUCGUGUUACUUGAGCUAUUCUCAUCGCUUGGCCAGCAUAUAAGUUGCCAAUUACCCGAGAGGGUAAGUAGCAAGGACAUGUCUAAUGCGUGCAACAAAGAGUUUUCUCUUUCUUUGUGAGAAAACUCCUAUCACUUUUAUUCUAAAAGGUGAACAAAUGUGGACACUAAGUACUGAGAGGUGUUAAUGCCCUUAAUUGCAAACUUCUAUACAUCUCAUAAGUGAACUCUUCUAAAUAUAUCUUGUCUAAUCAUUCUUAGUCAUGUGAAUCUCGAAAGGUGACCAUGUGUGGUGUUUAAUGACUCCGAGAGGAGCAUGCCUUAAUCAUAAGAUGGUUGAGUAAGGUAUAUCGCAUCAAGGCUAUCACCUUGCUUAAUCGUGUUAUAAUGCAUAGACAUUCUUUCACUCUUUCUCGCAUACAAGUUAGUUCAGAUAUUCCUCUCGAAUCCAUUCCCACCCCUUUAUAGAUUCUCUAAGCAUAUGUAAGUAGUCUUAUUUUUGGUUCUUAUUCUUUUAUAUGUUAAUUGUUUAUUCUUUUAUACCACCUAAUUGAGAAGUAGAUUCUAAAACUAAGAUUUGAUAUCAAUUCCCUAUGUUCGAAUCUAGAUCAAGUUAUGCGAUGAAGAGGUACAUAGUGAGUAAUUCACAUACAGUGAUCAUGACCAAUGACUUAUCGAAUAGACACACUAACAGAGAACCUACUCCGCAUACUCAAAAUCCUAUAACCAGCAUGUUGUAAAGAAAAAUUAUCCGUUAUGUUUCUAUACACCUUUAUAUAUACAGAUGUUUACAUGAAAUGAAAAAAUAACAUAAAACAAUUAUUAUAGGUUGGUGUGGGAAUUCAUAACUGUUACAUAAACAUCUGCUCAAUCUAGAGUCUACAAUUUGAUGCCAAACGAUAUGAAAAACUCUAGGAUUUGAAAAUCAGGAACCCAAUUGGUGAACUCCUAAUAUCAAAUUCUAAAAUUCCAAAUCAAUUUGACAACACCCCAAGAAGAACAGAUUAGAUUUUGGUUAUCCUUUGAUCAAGACCAAGAGAUAAGGUGAACUAUUUCCUCACUCCAAGUUUAGACAAUUCACAAGUAAGAUGAUCAAACUUACCUGAAUGUUCUUGGCAUGCAACGUUGGAUCAAUAAUUGUGAAAUGUGGCAAUGAGGCUCUGCAUGUCAUCUACCAAAGAACUUCUUGAUAGAAAAAACUCUAAAC